CCGGGUGCCCCUUUCCAAUAAAGUCUCUUGCUUUGUCAACAUGUGUCUCCUCGGACAAUUCACUUCUGAGUGUUAGACAAGAGCCCACUUUUCAGGCCCUGGAAGGGGUCCCCCUUCCUACAACAAAAGGCGACUCCACCAGGGACUCUUCUUUGCUGAGACUGACAUGUUGAUCGCUCGGGGUACUCAAGGACCAGCUUGCCCACCGAUGGACCAGACCCAGCGGCCACAACUGGGACACUUUUGUCCCUGGUCUCCUCCUGACGUGGACAACUGGCCAGAGUGCCCGACCGGGCUUGAUGCAGAGAAACACAGCAACCUGAGAAACCACACAUCGAAGACGGGGGACGCUCAAGAAGGAAGGAGCAUAGGUUCCAAAAUCACCACUUGGAGGAGAGCUGGUACCAUAAGGAAUACUUGUUUCAUAGUUUGAAUGAGUGAAUAACAAACUUUUAUUGUGUUAAA